GAUUUCUUCUAAUAUCUUCUUGGCUGCCAUGGUAGCUGUUUCCUGCUUAGUAGGAAAAGCCUCAACCCAUCCAGAGAAAGACACAAGAACAGCACUCCCAUGACACCCAACAACUGACCUCCUAUGCUUGGCCAUGGAUGACUGAAGGGGUCCAAGAAUCUCACCAAUUCCAUCAGCAUCAGGGAGCUCCAGAAUAUAUUUGGGUGAAAACAUGCUGGAAAAAGAAUGAAUUAAGUAAAUGAAAUGCAAAGUAAACCCUCCACUGGGCACUACAAAUAUUUUAUCCUUUUUUCCAUCAUGAGAAAAUUGUCAAGGAAGAAUGUGGUCCUGGCUUUUCAGAAAGAAGUGCCCAGAGAUAUCAGAAAGUGGUAAGAUGAGAAUCAUGGGACCUGAGUGGGUUGCAUAUGCAAGCUCUGCAAAAGAUGCAAUAGGAAGGUGUAUAUCCCUCAUCUGUCACUUGCCAAAGGCAGUGUGAAAGCACAUUGACCUGGAGGACAAGCUGGUCUUUUUGUUACGUUUUGUCAUAUUGUAAACAAGCAUUCUCUUUAUCUCAGAUAGGACCCCAAAAUAAAUACAUCACAAAAAUCCAACCUGGGAAAGUGAAUAAUUUAUUGGAAAUAGGUGAGGAGAUACUUAAUGGAGAUGGAAUGACUCAAAAAAAACAGCUGAGUCACUGAGAACUCAACUUUGACUCACUGAUAGUUCAUAAAGCUAUAAACCUGGUAUUCUCUGUACAACUCAGCAAGUCAUAGACACUUCUAGGAUCCACUAGCUCCAUUAAUUUGUCCCUCUUCAAGGCAGCUUGGGUGGUCUCUGUCUUGUUAGCUGUCUUUACUGAUUAUAUAACUUGGGAGGAUCCUUGUAUAUCUGGUAACUUUCAGAGAUUUCUUGAGAUUUCUAAGUUUUCAUGAAAUAUUUAUUUACUGAGUCAUAUCAUGCCUUUUGUUUAAAUGUCUUACACACUACUGAGCUUCAGAGGAAGGAGCUACAUGAACCAAGACAGCUUUGCUCCAUACCCUGCAACAGGGGGUCUCCUUUACUAGGGAGUCUCAGAAACUCUCCUUGGCACUACAGUUUGUUCACACAAUCACCUUUUCUUUGGAAUAAAAUUGAGUUUCUGAACUUCAUGUCUUCCUUGACCUAGGGAUAUAAGUGUUUCUUGUUAUGUGCUUCAGUGAUGUGUGGAAACACUCUCAAAUUUAACACAGCCAAAUACAGAGGGGAAGGGAGGAUAGAACCAUACUUCUGUAGAGAUUCUAAUUAGGAUUAGACACACCUUUGACUCACCAGUUCCAAUUUGAAGAGCACAC
rnacentral:sRNA from 1 species